CAGUGUCCUGUGCAUUCACUGCCGACCUGCUCCAGAGCUAAGGGGAAAGGUAAAGGCCACGCAGUCACGGCCUGGGAUGGAAAUACACAGCGAGGUCACCCAAAGAACCGCAUCCCUCUCAUCGGCUCCUCAGACUCCCCAUAGAGAUAAACCUCACUCAGCUCCUGUGCCUCCCCCCGACCCGAGCACAAACCAGGAACAUCUGCCAGGAUCCGUCUCCCCCAUCCUGGCGUAAACCAGAUGCAAUCCCACAGGAACCCCUUGACCCAUCUACACCCGCGUGAAGUUGUUGGGAGAGGAGAAUCAGAGCACUGGCCUCUAGGUGUGUUAGCAGGAAAUACACCGACACAGAGAGAUUCUGAUCCCCCAGCCGGAUGUCAGCUCAAGGCCCCUGUCUUCACACCGAACCGUCUGCCCCACGGUAGCUCAGGCUCAUUGAAUCAGUGGGGCCAUUGGCAGCAGGAUGAGGAAUGGAAACCAUCUGUGCUCUGUCGUUACACCGGCCCGGCCCGGCCCGGCCCGGCUGGGAGGGGAGCGGGGACCCCACUGCACCCCCCGGGCCUUGGGGGGACCCCUGGAGCUGCCGGAGGAGCAGAGACGCUCUGCCGCCGGAAAUGGAGAGGGACUGGUGGAAGAGGCUGUGGUCGUAUACGAAGGGUGAGGGUUCGCCUGGUGGUUCUAUAUACACCUAUGGAAACAUCCUUGUUAAAGUAACUCAUAGACUCAUAGACUCAAGGACUGGAAGGGACCUUGAGAGGUCAUCGAGUCCAGUCCCCUGCCCUCAUGGCAGGACCAAAUACUGUCUAGACCAUCCCUAAUAGACAUUUAUCUAACCUACUCUUAAAUAUCUCCAGAGAUGGAGAUUCCACAACUUCCCUAGGCAAUCUAUUCCAGUGUUUAACUACCCUGACAGUUAGGAACUUUUUCCUAAUGUCCAACCUAAAUCUCCCUUGCUGCAGUUUAAGCCCAUUGCUUCUUGUUCUAUCAUUGGAGGCUAAGGUGAACAAGUUUUCUCCCUCCUCCUGAUGACACCCUUUUAGAUACCUGAAAACUGAUAUCAGGUCCCCUCUCAGUCUUCUCUUUUCCAAACUAAAUAAACCCAAUUCCUUCAGCCUUCCUUCA
rnacentral:lncRNA from 1 species